rnacentral:tRNA from 1 species
CGGGGUGUAGCUCAGGUGGGAGAGCGCUGGCUUUGGGAGCCAGAGGGCGCAGGUUCAAGUCCUGUCACCCCGA